UUCUUCAUUGCUGCUCUCUCCCUUCUCUCGCUCAUGUUGGUCUAACAGCUCGAGAGUCACCAUCUGUUCAAAAGCCAAGGAGGAAGAGAUGAUCACUAACAGGAAACAGAGGCGCUCCCAGCCCCUAUUAACGCAACUGGUCAUCUAGUUCGAGUGACUGUUUUCUGUCUGCUUUUGCUCAAAUGACGUUGCUGCUUCUCAUGAGAGGCUGCCCAUACUCAUCCAGUGAGGUCAUUCCAGGAAUCCUAGGCAUGAGGAGAGAAAAACACCACCAAAAUGGAUGCUGCCAAAAUCAAGCAAGUAAGGGAUGCACGUAAAUUCCAGAGAGCUUCGGAAGGCUGAGAUGAGGCCCUCCUAAGAACUCUGCAGCGGGACACAGCUGGUCCAGAACUGAGACACUGAAGGAUGUCACUGCGGAGAGGACAGUCCUAAAGAAUGAGGAGCUCUUGACAGAAGGGCUCUCAAGGAUGGGUCACUGACCUGCCAUCCCAAAUGCGUAUGUGAAAGAUUGCUGAUAAAACUGGAGAGUAUGAUUCCAUUUUCAAGCUAUUAACAACUUUCAGGUUCAAAAGGAUCGGCAAAUCAAAAAGAACGAAAUACCAGCAUUUUUAGCAACAUGGAUGGACCUAGAA